rnacentral:ncRNA from 1 species
UUAAAAUUAAUUUUUAAAAUAUUAAAGUUUAAUUUUGGCUUAGGGAUUUUUUGUUAUUUUUUAUUUACAUGUAAAUUUUUGUGGUUAUUAAAAUUUAUUUAAAUAAUAAAUUUUUAUUUUUGUAUUCGCAGUAUGAAAUAUUAAAUAUUAAGUAAAUUUAGAUUUAAAAAUAAAAUUUAUAAUUAACAAAAUUUGUGCCAGCAGUUGCGGUUACACAAAUAAUUAAAGAAAAUUUUUUUGAGGAAUAGUAAUAAUAAUAUAAAAUUGAUUUUAAUUAAAUUUUUUAGGUGAAAUUUAAAAUUUAUAUUAAAUCAAUAAAAAGUUUUUGAUUCUAAUAAAUUUAAAAUAAAAACUAGGAUUAGAUACCCUAUUAUUUUAAACUUAAAUUUUUCCUUAAUUAGUAAAAGUUAUGUUCUCUAAAAUUAAAAAAUUUGGCGGUAUUUUAGUCUUUUCAGAGGAACCUGUUCUAUAAUUGAUAGUCCACGAUUAAUUUUACUUAUCUUAUUAAUUUAUAUAUCGUCGUAGUUUGAAUAUUUUCAAAGAAUAAAAAUAUUCAAAAUUUUAUUUAAAAAGUAAAUCAGAUCAAGGUGUAGUUUAUAGAUAAGAAGAAAUGGGUUACAAUAAUAUUAUUUUUGGAUAAAAUAAUGAAAUUUAUUUUUGAAAUUGGAUUUGAAAGUAAUUAAUUAAAUAUUUUUUUAAUGAUUGAAGCUCUAAAAUAUGUACAUAUUGCCCGUCGCUUUUGUUUUAAGAUGAAAUAAGUCGUAACAAAGUAGAUUUACUGGAAAGUGAAUCUAGAGGA